UACGGAGGGGGCUAGCGUUGUUCGGAAUUACUGGGCGUAAAGCGCGCGUAGGCGGACUGUUAAGUCGGGGGUGAAAUCCCGGGGCUCAACCCCGGAACUGCCUUCGAUACUGGCGGUCUAGAGGUCUGGAGAGGUGAGUGGAAUUCCGAGUGUAGAGGUGAAAUUCGUAGAGAUUCGGAGGAACACCAGUGGCGAAGGCGGCUCACUGGCCAGAUUCUGACGAUGAGGUGCGAAAGAGUGGGGAGCAAACAGG
rnacentral:rRNA from 1 species